AUUGAACGCUGUCGGCAGGCCUAACACAUGCAAGUCGAGCGAGCGGCGGACGGGUGAGUAAUGUAUGGGGACUGCUCGAUAGCGCGGGAUAACUAAUGGAAACGGUGUCUAAUACCGCAUACUGUCGCAUAACGCAUGUGGGAUUAGCUAGUAGGUAAGGUAGUGGCUUACCUCGGCGACGCUCCCUAGCUGGUCUGAGAGGAUGAUCAGCCACACUGGGACUGAGACACGGCCCAGACCCCUACGGAGGCAGCAGUGGGGAAUAUUGCACAAUGGGCGCAAGCCUGAUGCAGCCAUGCCGCGUGUAUGAAGAAGGCCCUAGGGUUGUAAAGUACUUUCAGUCGGGAGGCGUUACCGACAGAAGAAGCACCGGCUAACGCCGUGCCAGCAGCCGCGGUAAUAC
rnacentral:rRNA from 1 species